AGGCUCCAGGUCAUGAAGCUGUUUUCAUGAAUGAACCAAGACUUUCUGAUUUCAAGCAGGUCCUUUUACGAGAAGGAAUCCAGGCAGAGUUUGUUGGAGGAGUACUUGUCUGCAAUAAUUUGGUGGCUGUUCGCAGGACUGAAGCUGGUCGCAUUGGAUUAGAAGGCAGCAUCUGUGAAGAUUACUAUAGAAUAAGACAACUUUUGUAUGAACAGUAUGCCAUCGUAUAGCAGAAUGCGAAAAGAAUUCAGAGAUAGAAUCCUGAUAAAAGUUGAUCUUCUUGUGAACUUUAUAAAGAAAGCUCCAUUUUUUAUUUUUACAAGCUGAACUUUUUAGUAAACUUUGGAAAGUACAGGCAUUGCAGUGAAUGCUACCAAGUGCAAGUGUUCCACUGUUAAGCAUGUUGAUUUGUAAACAUACUCAUAAAAUGAGUUCAAACUGCAUUCCAUUCUUCAAAGUGAUUGUUACUCAGCAUAGUUUAUUUAAUUUCACUGCACAGUGAAGAACCAUCUGACUGUAUUUUUGGCUUUCUUUUAAUUCUUGUAUGAAUAUGUCUGCAGAAAUAUAUGCUGGCUUCAUCUGCAUACAAAUGUAUGAAAGUUGCUUUGGGUUCUGCAGCAGGAACACAGUGGGCAGAUCUGUAAUGCCAAAUGCCAGUUUGACCUCCAGUGCAGUGGACUGCCAGCCUGCUGUGUAUGUCCUCUUUAAAACUAGGGACCUGAGUGACCUUAAGUGUACCAGCAUGAACACUGUGUCAUCCUUAUAAAAGUCAUCAAGGACCUGAAGUUGUAGUAAAUUGUAACUUAUUUGAGACCAUAUUAGUCUGUUAUAAGUAAACCAGUAUGAAUGUACAUAGAAAAUGUGACAAGGAAUAUGCUUUCCUGACUGUGGAAUUUAUACUUUCCUUUAAGGAUGCCUUUUUAUAUCUCCUUACUUGUACUGUGUUGAUUCAGCAUUCCACCUUUGUUGGAUUUAACGUUCCACAGAUGAUGAUGAUCAUGUUACAGUCAAGUUGCAUUGAUGGAUGUCAUUUUUGUCUUAAUCAUCAAUGAAAUUAUAGUGGGCUUCAUUUUCCAGAUGUUAACAUUUUGUAGUUCAUGCUUGAAGAGUUUAAAAACAAAAAACAUUUUAGCAGUUUAUUUUUCCCUUGUUUUAUGUAAAUGCUGUUUUUUUGAUAGACUUGGAUAGGACAUAAACAUACCACUUAAGUGGACUCUGUAAACUGUAAGUCAUUGUCCUAGCUUGUCUUUUCAUGUUUUAAUAAGCGACAUACCAAAAACAUGCCCCCCCCCAUGAGGUACUAAGUUUAUUUUCAGACCACAGUGUUAACGGAUGCAAUUUGAAUUUACUAUAAAAAUGAAAUAGCACAUGCCUAAUUGGUUUUCUUUCUUAAAAUUGUUGUAUUUAAAAAAAAAAGUUAGAGAACAGUCUGUAUUUUUUUUGUUUAUUUUCACUGGUAUUUGAGGAGAUAGAAUGUAGUAGUUAGGAAUCCUUUUAUGAUGAUCUUUAGGAAUCCUUUUAUGAUGAUCGUGUGACUUUAUAAAAAUUUUAAGCGUUGUAGCUCCUUGUAAAAAGAUGUUAAAAGCACAGUGUUGUAGCUGCUUGUAUAAACAUGCCAAAAGCGCAGAGUGUAUCAGAGAAGCGGAAACAGCAGGAGCCAUUUGUAAGCUAUUGGUUGCAUUUUAAUUUGUAAAGCAUAUUGCUCUUUACUGAUGAACAGCACAGUGAUGCAGCAGCUAGCAUUAUUGCAUCAUAAUAUUUGGUUCUUUAGUUUCACGCUCAGCUGUAGUGCCUUCUUUGCAGAGUCUGCACAUAGUCUCUGCGUGCCCAUGGGUUUUCGCCAAGUGCUCUCUUUCCCUCCCACAUCUCAAAUACUGGUGUGUAGGUGUGUAUGUAGUAUGUCAGCAUGUGUGAUGCGUGUCCUGCAAUGGGCAUCUCAAAGAUUGGUGUGUAGGUGUGUGCGCAAUAUGUGAGUGAGUGUGCUUUGUGUCCUGCAAUGGGCAUCUCAAAGAUUGGUGUGCAUGCAGUAUGUGAACGAGUGUGCUGUGUGUCCUGCAAUGGGCAUUUCAAAGAUUGGUAUGUAGGUGUGUGCGCAAUAUGUGAGUGAGUGUGCUUUGUGUCCUGCAAUGGGCAUCUCAAAGAUUGGUGUGUAGGUGUGUGUGCAGUAUGUGAGUGAGUGUGCUGUGUGUCCUGCAAUGGGCUGCCCCCCCUCCCCCCAUUUAGGAUUAAUUCCUUAGCUUUGCAGUCAGUGAAUGCAGGAAUAGUUAAAUUCCUCAGAGACAUCUAAAAAGGAGAUUGAAUGAAUCUGUCCAUGUUCGUGUUGUUUGGAAGAAGUGAGAGAUGUUCUGACUUCUCUUCAAUCUGGUAGGAUGACAAGGCAGUUAAGCAUAACUUUGUACUGCUUUUUUGUCAGGAUGAGAAUGCAAGAAUGAGUCAGUUUCAUCUGUUAGCACUUAUUUGAUCACAAUACCUGUGAAAUUCUACUUUUUUAGACUAAGAUCACUGACAUCAGCUUGUGUUUGCUGUCCAGAACAAGAAGAAACUAAGUUCUUAAACCACCUUUUGGAAGUAAAUGGAAGUCUUCACAGUGCUUGGCACAUUGAAAUAUGACGAUGUAAUAUUAAACUACAGUGAAGUUUAAAAUAA